AGACCCGAAACCCGGUGAUCUAGCCAUGGGCAGGUUGAAGGUUGGGUAACACUAACUGGAGGACCGAACCGACUAAUGUUGAAAAAUUAGCGGAUGACCUGUGGCUGGGGGUGAAAGGCCAAUCAAACCGGGAGAUAGCUGGUUCUCCCCGAAAGCUAUUUAGGUAGCGCCUCGUGAAUUCAUCUCCGGGGGUAGAGCACUGUUUCGGCUAGGGGGCCAUCCCGGCUUACCAACCCGAUGCAAACUGCGAAUACCGGAGAAUGUUAUCACGGGAGACACACGGCGGGUGCUAACGUCCGUCGUGAAGAGGGAAACAACCCAGACCGCCAGCUAAGGUCCCAAAGUCAUGGUUAAGUGGGAAACGAUGUGGGAAGGCCCAGACAGCCAGGAUGUUGGCUUAGAAGCAGCCAUCAUUUAAAGAAAGCGUAAUAGCUCACUGGUCGAGUCGGCCUGCGCGGAAGAUGUAACGGGGCUAAACCAUGCACCGAAGCUGCGGCAGCGAACGUAUCACCCAAGACAACUUUACGGAGUUGACGAUUGACGGAGCGAAGCGACGUCAAAGCGUUCAUUAAAGUCGAGUUGGCUUAGGGAUACGUUCGUUGGGUAGGGGAGCGUUCUGUAAGCCUGUGAAGGUGUGUCGUGAGGCAUGCUGGAGGUAUCAGAAGUGCGAAUGCUGACAUAAGUAACGAUAAAGCGGGUGAAAAGCCCGCUCGCCGGAAGACCAAGGGUUCCUGUCCAACGUUAAUCGGGGCAGGGUGAGUCGACCCCUAAGGCGAGGCCGAAAGGCGUAGUCGAUGGGAAACGGGUUAAUAUUCCCGUACUUGGUGUUACUGCGAAGGGGGGACGGAGAAGGCUAUGUUGGCCGGGCGACGGUUGUCCCGGUUUAAGCGUGUAGGUGUGUGUUCCAGGUAAAUCCGGUUCACUUUAACACUGAGGCGUGACGACGAGGCACUACGGUGCUGAAGCAACAAAUGCCCUGCUUCCAGGAAAAGCCUCUAAGCAUCAGGUAACACGAAAUCGUACCCCAAACCGACACAGGUGGUCAGGUAGAGAAUACCAAGGCGCUUGAGAGAACUCGGGUGAAGGAACUAGGCAAAAUGGUGCCGUAACUUCGGGA
rnacentral:rRNA from 1 species